GGUAGCGUGGCCGAGUGGUCUAAGGCGCUGGUUUUAGGCACCAGUCCGCAAGGGCGUGGGUUCGAAUCCCACCGCUGCCA